rnacentral:lncRNA from 1 species
GUACAAUUUGUAUUUUUAAUUAUCGUGAAAUGAGGACAUAGUUUAUUUUCCAAAUAAAUGUUUACAUAUUAUUUCAAAACUGAUAAAGCACGGAAGUCUGAAUGGGUUACGCCACACGGACUUGCAAUUAGAUAGAAAAUGUGCAAAAAGUGAAAAAUAAGAGAAAAAUAAAGACUAAAUGAAAAUAUGCAAAAAUAUUAUGAAUUCAGAAAAAUAGGCCAAAAAAUAAAGAAUACAGAAAAAUAGGUAAAAUAAAAGAAAACAGAAAAAUAGGCAAAAAAAUAGAAAAAUACAAAAUAUAGGGGUGCUUGAAUGUAUAUAGAAUAAGGGGCAAAAUAAGAGAAAAUGAUAUAAAAAAUAUAGAUUUCAGAAUUGAAGGACUCCCCUAUCUAGACAUUCUUUAAUUGCUAGCUAUAAAAGACCCCGAAAUGACAAAUGUUAAACUAUUGAAAACUAACGGCCUAAUUUAUG